rnacentral:rRNA from 1 species
CCUACGGGUGACAGCAGUGGGGAAUAUUGGGCAAUGGGCGAAAGCCUGACCCAGCAACGCCGCGUGAAGGAAGAAGGCUUUCGGGUUGUAAACUUCUUUUGACAGGGAAGAGCAGAAGACUGUACCUGUCGAAUAAGCCACGGCUAACUACGUGCCAGCAGCCGCGGUAAUACGUAGGUGGCAAGCGUUGUCCGGAUUUACUGGGUGUAAAGGGCGUGUAGCCGGGCUGACAAGUCAGAUGUGAAAUUCGGGGGCUCAACCGGUGGCCUGCAUUUGAAACUGUGUUUCUUGAGUAAUGGAGAGGCAGACGGAAUUCCUAGUGUAGCGGUGAAAUGCGUAGAUAUUAGGAGGAACACCAGUGGCGAAGGCGGUCUGCUGGACAGCAACUGACGCUGAGGCGCGAAAGCGUGGGGAGCAAACAGGAUUAGAUACCCGUGUAGUC